rnacentral:rRNA from 1 species
GGAUUAGAUACCCUGGUAGUCCACGCCGUAAACGAUGUCUACUAGCCGUUGGGAGGCUUGACCUUUUAGUGGCGCAGCUAACGCCUUAAGUAGACCGCCUGGGGAGUACGGCCGCAAGGCUAAAACUCAAAGAAAUUGACGGGGGCCCGCACAAGCGGUGGAGCAUGUGGUUUAAUUCGAUGCAACGCGAAGAACCUUACCUACCCUUGACAUCAUCAGAACUUGUUAGAGAUAACUCGGUGCCUUCGGGAACUGAUAGACAGGUGCUGCAUGGCUGUCGUCAGCUCGUGCCG